rnacentral:SRP_RNA from 1 species
GCCGGGCAUGGUGGCGCAUGGCUGUAGUCCCAGCUACUUGGGGGACUGAGGCAGGAGGAUUGCUUGAUCCCAGGAGGUCGAGGCUGCAGUGAGCUGUGACUGCACCACUGCACUCCAGCCUGGGUAACAGAGCAAGACCCUGUCUCAA